rnacentral:rRNA from 1 species
UACGUAGGGUGCAAGCGUUGUCCGGAAUUAUUGGGCGUAAAGAGCUCGUAGGCGGCUUAGUAAGUCGGGUGUGAAAACCCCAGGCUCAACCUGGGGACGCCACCCGAUACUGCUAUAGCUAGAGUCCAGUAGGGGAGUGUGGAAUUCCCAGUGUAGCGGUGAAAUGACGCAGAUAUUGGGAGGAACACCAGCGGCGAAGGCGGCACUCUGGGCUGGUACUGACGCUGAGGAGCGAAAGCAUGGGGAGCGAACAGG